rnacentral:lncRNA from 1 species
GUAUUGAAAAUACAUAAGGAGUGAAAUGUAAGAUCUGAGGAAAUGUUGCCCAUUUUUUCAGGGCCAGGAAAAUCCUGACAACACUCCAGGAAGAAAUCACUUGCCAAAACAUCAGCUUGAACAAGUGGUUCCAUCCAGCUCAAUUGUAAUGCCACAUAAUUUAUGCUGGAGCGGCUUUUGGAAUAGCAGAGAAUGGCAUGUGCCCAUAUUGGGGAGCAUAAGAUUGGAAAUGUUGGUGUUACCCUCAUCUUCACUUCAAAGACUCUAUUGCCUCAGACAUUGGGAGCAAUCAGUCUGAUCAAAACGAAAACAUGUUUGGUUCAAGAAAAGUGGCUGGGGGAAAAAGGUAUUUGUUAAGUGCUUAACAUGUAGUACCAAGCACUAGGCUAAGUGCUGGGGAUACAACUACAAAAAGACUAAAACAACCCUCCCCCCCAAAGAACUUACAUUCUAAAAGAGGAAGUAACACUUAUGAGGGAGUAGUUUGUCAGGGAAGGGGUGUUUUGGUUUGGGAAGGCAAAAGAGAUGAUGAAUAGAGUCUACUCUAAGGGUCUUGAUUAAUUUUCUGCUUUUUUUUUUAAUAGCCAAGGAAGUGCUGACUGGAUUACAGUAUGCUGAGGAAGAGUGUGGGGGAGGCAGAAGCCUGGAGAAGAAUGCAAAGCUUGGAUGGGGCCAACUAGAUAAUAGUGGCCCUAUGAUUUUAAAUUCAUCAAUAAGUACUAUGAAACUGGACUGAUUGGAGAGGUGAGGGAUUAUUUUCCAUUUGGGGAAAUUAGAAUUUUUUCUCCUAUGAUUUGCAAGUCACCUAAGUAGUAUUAUAAAAUGAAAGCAGAUUCUGCAAAGUUAAAAGGAAAGAGAAGAAAAAAAUCUUACCUGAUAAGUGCCUCAGUGCUAAGCAGGCAUCUGCCACAAAUAUGAAUAUGCUACAAAAUAACCAUGUGAAAAUAAUAGUCACUAGCUGCAGCAAAAGCCCUCCUUUGCUUUAAUUCAAGCAGGGCUAUCGUUCUUGGAAGUCUAAUUUGGUAAAUAUCUCGGAGUGCUGACUCAUCAAUCCAGAAAAUUCAAUAAUAAAUUGUCACUGUGAUUUAGCA